CACAGAUGAUGAACAAUUUUGACGGGCGGACAGAGACUCCGUGUUGAUUGUCAAGUUCUGACCUG
ensembl:snoRNA SNORD43 small nucleolar RNA, C/D box 43